ACACACAAAACAAGCGGUGAGUGCUUUGGGGUGGGGUGACUGCGUACCUUUUGUAUAAUGGGUCAGCGACUUAUAUUCUGUAGCAAGGUUAACCGAAUAGGGGAGCCGGAGGGAAACCGAGUCUUAAUUGGGCGUUAAGUUGCAGGGUAUAGACCCGAAACCCGGUGAUCUAGCCAUGGGCAGGUUGAAGGUUGGGUAACACUAACUGGAGGACCGAACCGACUAAUGUUGAAAAAUUAGCGGAUGACCUGUGGCUGGGGGUGAAAGGCCAAUCAAACCGGGAGAUAGCUGGUUCUCCCCGAAAGCUAUUUAGGUAGCGCCUCGUGAAUUCAUCUCCGGGGGUAGAGCACUGUUUCGGCUAGGGGGCCAUCCCGGCUUACCAACCCGAUGCAAACUGCGAAUACCGGAGAAUGUUAUCACGGGAGACACACGGCGGGUGCUAACGUCCGUCGUGAAGAGGGAAACAACCCAGACCGCCAGCUAAGGUCCCAAAGUCAUGGUUAAGUGGGAAACGAUGUGGGAAGGCCCAGACAGCCAGGAUGUUGGCUUAGAAGCAGCCAUCAUUUAAAGAAAGCGUAAUAGCUCACUGGUCGAGUCGGCCUGCGCGGAAGAUGUAACGGGGCUAAACCAUGCACCGAAGCUGCGGCAGCGAACGUAUCACCCAAGACAACUUUACGGAGUUGACGAUUGACGGAGCGAAGCGACGUCAAAGCGUUCAUUAAAGUCGAGUUGGCUUAGGGAUACGUUCGUUGGGUAGGGGAGCGUUCUGUAAGCCUGUGAAGGUGGCCUGUGAGGGUUGCUGGAGGUAUCAGAAGUGCGAAUGCUGACAUAAGUAACGAUAAAGCGGGUGAAAAGCCCGCUCGCCGGAAGACCAAGGGUUCCUGUCCAACGUUAAUCGGGGCAGGGUGAGUCGACCCCUAAGGCGAGGCCGAAAGGCGUAGUCGAUGGGAAACGGGUUAAUAUUCCCGUACUUGGUGUUACUGCGAAGGGGGGACGGAGAAGGCUAUGUUGGCCGGGCGACGGUUGUCCCGGUUUAAGCGUGUAGGUGUGUGUUCCAGGUAAAUCCGGUUCACUUUAACACUGAGGCGUGAUGACGAGGCACUACGGUGCUGAAGCAACAAAUGCCCUGCUUCCAGGAAAAGCCUCUAAGCAUCAGGUAACAUCAAAUCGUACCCCAAACCGACACAGGUGGUCAGGUAGAGAAUACCAAGGCGCUUGAGAGAACUCGGGUGAAGGAACUAGGCAAAAUGGUGCCGUAACUUCGGGAGAAGGCACGCUGACAUGUAGGUGAAGUGAUUUACUCAUGGAGCUGAAGUCAGUCGAAGAUACCAGCUGGCUGCAACUGUUUAUUAAAAACACAGCACUGUGCAAACACGAAAGUGGACGUAUACGGUGUGACGCCUGCCCGGUGCCGGAAGGUUAAUUGAUG
rnacentral:rRNA from 1 species